rnacentral:tRNA from 1 species
GGGCGAUUGGCUCAGUGGUAGAGCGCCCGCUUUGCAUUGCCUCAAAAUGUCUGCGGGAGGCCCAGGGUUCAAUCCCCUGAUCGUCCA